rnacentral:rRNA from 1 species
GACGAACGCUGGCGGCGUGCUUAAUACAUGCAAGUCGAGCGGACAGGCGCUGAUCUUGUGGGGUGCUCGUGUGGCGAGCGGGUGUGUAAAACGUGAGUAACCUGCCCUUGUCUUUGGGAUAACUCCAGGAAACUGGGGCUCAUACCGGAUAGGAGCUCCUGCUGCAUGUGGGGGGAUGGAAAGUGUCGGCGGUGGGGGCUGGAAUCGCGGCUUAUCAGCUUGUUGGUGGGGUAGUGGCUUACCAGGGCUUUGACGGGUAGCCGGCCUGAGAGGGUGACCGGCGACAUUGGGACUGAGAGACGGCCCAGACUCCUACGGGAGGCAGAAGUGGGGAAUAUUGCACAAUGGGCGGAAGCCUGAUGCAGCAACGUCGCGUGCGUGAUGACGGCCUUCGGGUUGUAAACCGCUUUCGCCGGUGACGAAGCGUGAGUGACGGUAAUGGGUAAAGAAGCACCGGCUAACUACGUG